rnacentral:tRNA from 1 species
CGGGGCGUAGCGCAGCCUGGUAGCGCACUUCCUUGGGGUGGAAGUGGUCGGAGGUUCAAAUCCUCUCGCCCCGA